rnacentral:tRNA from 1 species
GGGGUCGUGGCUCAGUGGUAGAGCACUCACCUAGCAUGAGUCAGGCACUGGGUUCCAUCCUCAGCACCACA